GACGAACGCUGGCGGCGUGCCUAAUACAUGCAAGUCGAACGCUUCUUUCCUCCCGAGUGCUAGCACUCAAUUGGAAAGAGGAGUGGCGGACGGGUGAGUAACACGUGGGUAACCUACCCAUCAGAGGGGGAUAACACUUGGAAACAGGUGCUAAUACCGCAUAACAGUUUAUGCCGCAUGGCAUAAGAGUGAAAGGCGCUUUCGGGUGUCGCUGAUGGAUGGACCCGCGGUGCAUUAGCUAGUUGGUGAGGUAACGGCUCACCAAGGCCACGAUGCAUAGCCGACCUGAGAGGGUGAUCGGCCACACUGGGACUGAGACACGGCCCAGACUCCUACGGGAGGCAGCAGUAGGGAAUCUUCGGCAAUGGACGAAAGUCUGACCGGGCAACGCCGCGUGAGUGAAGAAGGUUUUCGGAUCGUAAAACUCUGUUGUUAGAGAAGAACAAGGACGUUAGUAACUGAACGUCCCCUGACGGUAUCUAACCAGAAAGCCACGGCUAACUACGUG
rnacentral:rRNA from 1 species